UCUUUGGUCAUGAUCAUUCCUUCUUGAUUAUGAUUUAUCCUUUGAAUAAGCACAGCAAGAUUAUCCUCGAACGUCUUGGCUUGUGCUUUAGUGGUUGGUCCCACCUUCAUCCGUAACGGGCGAAAUCACAUCACUUGCAUCUGAUUAGCUAGUUGGUGAGGCAAUAGCUUACUAAGGCGAUGAUCAGUAGCUGGUCCAAGAGGAUGAUCAGCCAUACUGGGACUGAGACACGACCCAAACUCCUAUGGAGGCAACAAUGGGGAAUUUUCUGCAAUGGAGGAGAGCCUGACAGAACAAUGCCGCAUGGAGAUAGGAGGCCUACGGGUCGUAAACUUCUUUUCCCAGAGAAGAAAUAAUGAUGGUAUAUGGGGAAUAAGCACCUACUAACUUUGUGCCAGCAGCCGCUGUAAUACAAAGGAUGCAAGCAUUAUCCGAAAUGAUCGGACGAAAAGGAUUUGUAAGUGGCUUUUUAAGUCUGCCGUCAAAUCCCAAGGCUCAACCCUAGAUAGGCGGUGGAAAAAUCCAAGCUAGAUUAUGGUAGGGGCAGAGGGAAUUUCGGGUGGAGCGGUGAAAUGAGUAGAGGUCAAAAAGAACACCAACAGUGAAAGCACUCUGCUGGGCCAACACUGACACUGAGAGAUGAAAGCUAGGGGAAAGAAUGGGAUUAGAUACCUUGAUAGUCCUAGCCGUAAAUGAUGGGUACUUGGCGCUGUGGGUAUUGACCCAUGUAGUGUUGUAGCUAACGCAUUAAGUAUCCUACCUGGGGAGUACAUUCACAAGAAUGAAACUUAAAGGAAUUGAUGGGGCCUCGCAUAAGCGGUGGAGCAUGUGGUUUAAUUCGAUGCAAAGCAAAGAACCUUACUAGAGCUUGACAUGCCAUGAGUCCUCUUGAAAGAGAGGGAUGCCUUCGGGAAAGUGGAGACAUGUGGUGUAUGGCUGUCUGCAGCUCGUGCUAUAAGGUGUUAGGUUAAGUCUUGCUACGAGUAUAACCCUCGUGUGUAGUUGCCACCGUUGAGUUUGGAACCCUGAGCAGAUUGCCGGUGAUAAGCCGGAGGAAGGUAAGGAUGAUGUCAAGUCAUCGCGUCCUUUAUGCCCUAACGUAUUUCUUUUAGCUAUUGUAGCCACUAAAGCCAAGUCAUCGCGUCCUUUAUGCCCUGGGCGACGCACGUGCUACAAUGGCCAAGACAAAGGGUCGUGAUCCCGCGAGGGUGAGCUAACUUUGAAACCCAUCCCUAGUUCAGAUUGUAGGCUGCAACUCAUCUUCAUGAAGCCGAAAUCGCUAGUAAUCACCAGUUAGCUAUACGGUGGUGAAUUCGUUCCCGGCCCAUGUACACACCGCCCAUCGCACUAUAGGAGCUGGCCAUGUUUCGAAGUCAUUACCUUAACCGCAAGGAGGGGGAUACCGAAUGCAGGGCUAGUGACUAGAGUAAAGUUGUAACAAGGUAGACGUACCAGAAGGUGCGGCUG
rnacentral:rRNA from 1 species